AUUGAACGCUGGCGGCAGGCUUAACACAUGCAAGUCGAGCGGGGGAGGUUGCUUCGGUAACUGACCUAGCGGCGGACGGGUGAGUAAUGCUUAGGAAUCUGCCUAUUAGUGGGGGACAACAUUCCGAAAGGGAUGCUAAUACCGCAUACGCCCUACGGGGGAAAGCAGGGGAUCUUCGGACCUUGCGCUAAUAGAUGAGCCUAAGUCGGAUUAGCUAGGUGGUGGGGUAAAGGCCUACCAAGGCGACGAUCUGUAGCGGGUCUGAGAGGAUGAUCCGCCACACUGGGACUGAGACACGGCCCAGACUCCUACGGGAGGCAGCAGUGGGGAAUAUUGGACAAUGGGCGGAAGCCUGAUUCAGCCAUGCCGCGUGUGUGAAGAAGGCCUUUUGGUUGUAAAGCACUUUAAGCGAGGAGGAGGCUCUUAAGGUUAAUACCCUUGAUGAGUGGACGUUACUCGCAGAAUAAGCACCGGCUAACUCUGUGCCAGCAGCCGCUGUAACAC
rnacentral:rRNA from 1 species